GGAAAUUAGUCUCAGAUUUUGUUCCAUAUAACUUUUUGACAACUCACAGUAUCAGGAAUUGUUGUAAAAGAUGAGAGAAUUCAUAAGGGCUAACUCUUCAGUUACUAAUUUGCAGAACUUGAAGCUGAGAUUGUUUCUUUGCUAAGGCUGCUUGAGGAACAGACUUAUGGGAUCAGAAAGCAAUUAAAAAAGGUAAGGAAGGCAGAUAUUUUCAGGCAACGAAAAGCACACGUAGCAGAUAAACAGAGAAGGUGCAGUUUUGUGUGGUAGAUUUGGCACAAAAUAUCAAGAUGGUUUUAAAUCACAGAGUAAAUGUAGAAUUACGUAUUUAAUGUCUCCCUAACUUUUUGUUUGUUUGUUUUUGUUACGAUAAGGGAAAACAUUGGCUUUAUCUCUGUAACUGACAGUGGAAAAGUCAGUGGGGUUACCUUCACAGAAAGCAGGACUGGGCUCUACUACGUCUAUUUCUGAAGCUCUGCUCAAAUUUGUGAAAAAUAAACGGUGUAGAAACGUCUGUGCUGUUUUCUUUUUCACAGGUGCUGAAUGGAGCUUGUGAAAUCAGCAAAACAAAUUACUUUAACAAUACUACUUACAUGAGUAAUGAAGAUGAGCUCCUUCCCCGGAGUCAUUUGUAUCUAUUUAAGACAGAGCGAUUCUUGUGCAUCUGCUGUGCGUGCCCCGUUCCUACCCAUGGACAUUAGUGAACGCACAAGAGAAAGCAGGGAUGCUGGUUGUUUUUAAUGAAAAGGUAAGAGAGAUGCUUGCGGUUUGUUGCUGCGGGCAGACCCGGCGGCUGCGGCCCUGAGAGCAGUGAGCGGGCUGGGGUAACCGCGGGGAGACAACGCUCACAACAGACCUUGGGGCCUUGAAUAGGAAAGAUCUGAAAGCAGCACAUAUCCUCCGCUAAAACGAGAAGGGGUACAAAUGAAGGAACUGAGCUUUUUCUUCUCAACUUCAGGGCGUGUUUUUUCCCCUGGCUAAUUCUGAGGGGAGGGCAAAGGACUCCUGCGCAGGGAAAAUGCCGACGA
rnacentral:lncRNA from 1 species